rnacentral:rRNA from 1 species
UACGUAGGGUGCGAACGUUGUCCGGAAUUAUUGGGCGUAAAGAGCUUGUAGGCGGUUUGUCGCGUCUGCUGUGAAAAUCCGGGGCUCAACCCCGGACUUGCAGUGGGUACGGGCAGACUAGAGUGUGGUAGGGGAGACUGGAAUUCCUGGUGUAGCGGUGAAAUGCGCAGAUAUCAGGAGGAACACCGGUGGCGAAGGCGGGUCUCUGGGCCGAUACUGACGCUGAGGAGCGAAAGCGUGGGGAGCAAACAGG